UACGUAGGGGGCAAGCGUUGUCCGGAUUUAUUGGGCGUAAAGAGCGUGUAGGCGGCCAAGCAGGUCCGCUGUGAAAACUCGAGGCUCAACCUCGAGACGUCGGUGGAAACCGUUUGGCUAGAGUCCGGAAGAGGAGAGUGGAAUUCCCGGUGUAGCGGUGAAAUGCGCAGAUAUCGGGAAGAACACCCGUGGCGAAGGCGGCUUACUGGUCCGGUUCUGACGCUGAGGCGCGAAGGCCAGGGGAGCAAACGGG
rnacentral:rRNA from 1 species